rnacentral:lncRNA from 1 species
GUGGAUGUGGAAAGAGAAGUUUGCAGAACUGAAAUGGAGCAUGGAGGUGAUACUUCUACAAAAGAUGAUGAAAAACCUGAACUGAAGAUAGUUUCUAAUGGUGAUGAACAACUGGAAAAAGCCAUGGAAGAGAUUUUGAGAGAUUCGGAGAAGGGGCAAAGUAGCCUUCCUGUUGAUUGUCCAAGUUCCAGUGAGAUUUCAGACCAUUCAUUUGGAAAUAUUUCAGCCAGGCAAACAAAUAAGCCAUCUCUUCAGUUAAUUUUGGAUCCAUCAAAUACAGAAAUUUCUACACCCAGACCAUCUUCUCCAAGUGAAAUACCUGAAGAGGAUAGUGUUUUAUUUAACAAACUGACCUAUUUAGGAUGUAUGAAGGUCUCUUCCCCACGUAAUGAAGUGGAAGCUUUACGGGCAAUGGCAACUAUGAAAUCUUCCAGUCAGCACCCCUUUCCCGUUACUCUGUAUGUGCCAAAUGUUCCAGAAGGUUCUGUGAGAAUCAUAGACCAGUCCAACCAUGUGGAGAUAGCAUCCUUUCCGAUCUAUAAGGUACUGUUCUGUGCGCGUGGCCACGACGGGACGACAGAGAGCAGUUGCUUUGCGUUUACAGAGAGUUCCCAUGGUUCUGAAGAAUUCCAGAUACAUGUCUUCUCCUGUGAAAUUAGAGAAGCAGUAAGCAGAAUUUUAUAUAGUUUCUGUACAGCUUUCAAACGUUCUUCUAGACAAGUAUCAGAUGUUAAAGACUCGGUUAUUCCUACCCCCGACAGUGAUGUGUUUACCUUCAGUGUCUCGUUGGAGGUAAAAGAAGAUGAUGGAAAAGGAAACUUUAGUCCUGUGCCUAAGGAUCGAGAUAAAUUUUAUUUCAAAUUAAAACAAGGAAUAGAGAAGAAGGUUGUGAUUACAGUGCAGCAACUUUCUAACAAAGAAUUAGCUAUUGAAAGAUGUUUUGGAAUGUUAUUAAGCCCAGGUCGAAACGUGAAGAACAGUGACAUGCAUUUACUGGAUAUGGAAUCCAUGGGAAAGAGCUGUGAUGGGAGAGCUUAUGUUAUCACUGGCAUGUGGAACCCCAAUGCACCAAUAUUUCUGGCACUUAAUGAAGAAACCCCAAAAGAUAAACGAGUAUACAUGACCGUGGCAGUGGAUAUGGUAGUCACAGAGGUGGUGGAGCCAGUCCGCUUUCUCCUGGAGACAGUAGUACGUGUGUACCCUGCAAAUGAACGAUUUUGGUAUUUCAGCAGAAAAACUUUCACGGAGACUUUCUUCAUGAGGUUAAAACAGUCUGAGGGGAAAGGCCAUACCAAUGCUGGGGAUGCAAUAUAUGAGGUGGUGAGUCUACAGCGAGAGUCUGAGAAGGAGGAUCCAGUCACUCCUACUAGUGGAGGGGGCCCAUUGUCACCCCAGGAGGAUGAAGCAGAAGUGGAGAGUGAUAAUGAACUCUCAAGCGGAACAGGUGAUGUGUCUAAGGAUUGUCCUGAGAAGAUCCUAUAUUCUUGGGGAGAAUUGCUAGGAAGAUGGCACAGUAACCUUGGUGCACGACCAAAGGGGCUGUCCACUCUGGUGAAGAGUGGUGUUCCUGAAGCAUUGAGGGCAGAGGUAUGGCAAUUAUUAGCAGGCUGCCAUGACAACCAAGCGAUGCUGGAUAGGUACCGACUUCUUAUCACAAAGGACUCAGCCCAGGAGAGUGUUAUUACUCGAGAUAUUCAUCGUACAUUUCCUGCACAUGAUUACUUCAAAGAUACUGGAGGAGAUGGCCAAGAAUCUCUCUACAAGAUCUGCAAGGCCUACUCUGUCUAUGAUGAAGACAUUGGGUACUGUCAAGGACAGUCUUUUCUUGCUGCUGUAUUGCUGCUGCAUAUGCCAGAAGAACAAGCAUUCUGUGUUUUGGUGAAAAUCAUGUAUGACUAUGGUUUACGAGACCUCUACAAAAACAACUUUGAAGAUCUUCACUGCAAAUUCUAUCAGUUGGAGAGACUCAUGCAGGAGCAGUUACCGGACCUGCACAACCAUUUUUCUGAUCUGAACCUAGAAGCUCAUAUGUACGCAUCCCAGUGGUUUCUCACUCUCUUUACUGCCAAGUUCCCACUCUGCAUGGUCUUCCACAUCAUUGACUUACUGCUUUCUGAGGGUUUGAACAUAAUCUUUCAUGUAGCCUUGGCUCUCCUAAAGACCUCAAAGGAAGAUCUUCUGCAGGCUGAUUUUGAAGGCGCCUUAAAGUUCUUCAGAGUCCAGCUUCCAAAGAGAUACAGGGCAGAGGAAAAUGCAAGAAGGCUAAUGGAGCAGGCUUGCAACAUUAAGGUACCGACCAAGAAGCUAAAGAAAUAUGAGAAAGAAUAUCAGACAAUGCGAGAGAGUCAGCUGCAGCAGGAAGACCCAAUGGAUAGAUACAAGAGGGAGAACCGGAGACUACAGGAGGCCAGCAUGAGGUUGGAACAAGAGAAUGAUGACCUUGCUCAUGAACUAGUAACCAGCAAGAUUGCUCUGCGGAAUGACUUGGAUCAAGCAGAAGACAAGGCAGACGUGCUGAAUAAAGAGCUUCUUUUGACCAAGCAGAGGCUAGUGGAGACCGAAGAAGAGAAGAGGAAGCAGGAGGAAGAGACGGCCCAGCUAAAAGAAGUCUUCAGGAAACAGCUAGAGAAGGCGGAAUAUGAAAUCAAGAAGACUACAGCUAUCAUUGCCGAGUAUAAACAGAUCUGUUCCCAGUUGAGUACCCGGCUGGAGAAACAGCAAGCAGCCAGCAAGGAGGAGCUGGAAGUGGUAAAGGGUAAGAUGAUGGCAUGUAAACACUGCAGUGACAUUUUCAGCAAGGAGGGCGCUUUGAAAGUAGCGGCCAUAAGCAGAGAGGACCAGGGGAUUGAAUCGGAUGAUGAGAAGGACUCUCUUAAGAAGCAACUGAGGGAGAUGGAGCUGGAAUUGGCACAAACCAAACUGCAGCUGGUGGAGGCCAAGUGUAAAAUCCAGGAACUUGAACAUCAGAGAGGAGCCCUUAUGAAUGAAAUCCAAGCUGCAAAAAACUCUUGGUUUAGCAAAACCCUGAACUCUAUCAAAACGGCCACGGGCACGCAGCCGCUGCAGCCACCACAGGCCACCCAGCCCCCCAAGGAGAGCACAUAGUUCCAGCCUCACCCAAGCACAGGAGCACAACGAUCAAAGCGACGGAAACCCAGGAAGAGUCCUGGUGUCCCUUUGAAAGGAAGGGAAGGAGGCCAGAAAGCAAGCCAGGAUCUUUCAGUAGCUCUCAAUCUUUCUCGUAUGACGCUUUUCAAAGGGAUGUUAUUUAAACUAACCUGAUUUAUGUUGAAUACCUGUGUUUGUGCUUCAUGGAAGGCCGUGUUCCGAUCCGUCAUAGUAUUAUUACACAUUAUUUUAUAUGCCUGAUGUCUGGUUGGAAACAAGUAAUUCAGAGCUAAAUGCUUUUUAUUUAGAACUAAUUAUUCAUAAUUAUUUUUAUCUUACAUGAAAAUGGAGAUGUGUUUUAUUCCAAGGUUGAAUUGAUAGGAAGAUAUUUGUCACAGCAAA